CACCCCUAAAAUAGUUAUCGUAAAAAAAAAAUAUAGUUAUCUAUAUAUUUCUCAAAACUUUAGAAAUAUCUUAUUUACUCAUACUUUUUUUUUCUUUCUAAUAUAUCCCUCAUAUAUUCCUCCGUUAUUCUAAAAUAUUCCUACGUGAGUUAAAUAUCUAUUAGAGUUAAAAAAAAAUUAAAAUGCCUCUUUUGCCCUUAACUUAAGGACAAAUAAGAAAUGUUGUUGAUUAUAGAAGGGUAUAUUCGAAAAGAAUACAAAUCAAAAUAUAUUUUAUAUCCCUAACUUAAAGGUAAAUAAAAAAAAGUUGGUGACGGUGGAGGGAUAUAUUUGAAAGGACAAAAUAAUAAUUUCAUAUAGAUAAUUGUUAUUGCCAGCAGUUUAUUAACAGAAUUUAACUUUAAGUUAGGGAUAUAAAAUAUAUAUAUUUGAUAUAGGUUGAAACGUAAAAAAAAUAUUUUCAAUAUUAAUCUUCUAAAAAAGAUAUAUUAAAAAAUUAAAAAAAUUUUAGAAAUAUAUACGCAAUUGCCCCUAAA
rnacentral:lncRNA from 1 species